UACCAGCACCCCGAGUGGUCGGGACGUUUAUUGGGCCUAAAGCAUCCGUAGCCGGUUCUACAAGUCUUCCGUUAAAUCCACCUGCUUAACAGAUGGGCUGCGGAAGAUACUAUAGAGCUAGGAGGCGGGAGAGGCAAGCGGUACUCGAUGGGUAGGGUAAAAUCCGUUGAUCCAUUGAAGACCACCAGUGGCGAAGGCGGCUUGCCAGAACGCGCUCGACGGUGAGGGAUGAAAGCUGGGGGAGCAACCGG
rnacentral:rRNA from 1 species